rnacentral:rRNA from 1 species
CCUACGGGUGGCAGCAGUGGGGGAUAUUGCACAAUGGGCGAAAGCCUGAUGCAGCGACGCCGCGUGAGGGAAGACGGUCUUCGGAUUGUAAACCUCUGUCUUUGGGGAAGAAAUCAGACGGUACCCAAAGAGGAAGCUCCGGCUAACUACGUGCCAGCAGCCGCGGUAAUACGUAGGGAGCGAGCGUUGUCCGGAUUUAUUGGGUUUAAAGGGUGCGUAGGCGGAUUUUUAAGUCAGCGGUAAAAUGUCCGGGCUCAACCCGGGCCGGCCGUUGAAACUGGGGAUCUUGAGUGGGCGAGAAGUAUGCGGAAUGCGUGGUGUAGCGGUGAAAUGCGUAGAUAUUAGGAGGAACACCAGUGGCGAAGGCGGUCUACUGGACAGCAACUGACGCUGAGGCGCGAAAGCGUGGGGAGCAAACAGGAUUAGAUACCCUAGUAGUC